CUACGGGCGGCUCCAGUGAGGAAUAUUGCACAAUGGGGGGAACCCUGAUGCAGCAACGCCGCGUGGAGGAUGACGCAUUUCGGUGUGUAAACUCCUUUUAUAUGUCAAGAAAAUGACGGUAGCAUAUGAAUAAGCACCGGCUAACUCCGUGCCAGCAGCCGCGGUAAUACGGAGGGUGCAAGCGUUACUCGGAAUCACUGGGCGUAAAGGACGCGUAGGCGGGCUUGUAAGUCAGGUGUGAAAUCCUAUAGCUUAACUGUAGAACUGCACUUGAAACUACGAGCCUAGAGUAUGGGAGGGGCAGAUGGAGUUAGUGGUGUAGGGGUAAAAUCCGUAGAUAUCACUAGGAAUACCUAAAGCGAAGGCGAUCUGCUGGAACAUAACUGACGCUAAGGCGUGAAAGCGUGGGGAGCAAACAGGAUUAGAUACCCUAGUAGUC
rnacentral:rRNA from 1 species